CCCUGGUUCCAGAGGUUUAUUUUUAUUAUUAUCAUUACGAAGGGGAGAGGAAAAAUAAACCUCUGGAACCAGG
rnacentral:miRNA from 1 species